UUUUAUGCUCUUCCAUUGACUUAUCUCCCUUGGGUAAGAUCUCAAACAUGUCAGCUCCCAGUGAUGGUUUGGCAGACAAAUGCUUACAGUGAAGUUUGUGACUUUAAUAAUCUAGGAUGAGCAUGUAGGCUAUCCCAGCCUUAUACAUCUACAUAUUACAAACUAUUUAAGAUAUCUGAAUGCACUAAAGUCCAAAAUAGCAUUUCCAAAAAAAAUAAUUACUGCCAAGAAAUUUGACAAUCAUGACAAUAAUUUAGUGAAUAAACAUGAUAAAUAUUGAUUGGAAAAAUAAGUCCAUGAACAACAAAAAGUGUUUUUAGAUUUCAACGAGCAAAACAAAAGUAUUCUAAAUCAUUCUUCGUAAAAAAAAAAAGGUGAGCGAGUGGAACCACCUUGCUUGCACCAAAAUUGAGAUUGAGAGUGUCAAAACUGCUCUGGCGCACCAUCAACAAAUCAACGACACUCUCUCUACCGAGGUAUUGAAACCAGCAUUGGUAACCAAACAUAUUCAUACAGAUACAGACUACCAUUCAUCUACAUUUAGGAAGUCUGAAUAAUACUAAAAACUAUGGUGUAGAAUUUCCAACAGGACUCCUUAUUUUAUAUAAGACAAGGAGUGGUUUAUUUUCCCAUGGUUGUUACAUCAUCUUGUCUUUGAAUAUGCUCGAAAUACAGGGACUUUUAUGGAAUUCAUUGACAUGAUAGUCAAGCAAGAUGUCAACAUCUCGUCCAACCCUCUUCCAGCAAAGCCAAAGCUGACCAAGGAUCUUCACCCUUUCAAAACAGGCUGUAUACAGGACGAGUUAUUCCAGUAGGAACAGGGCUAUAUAUAUGCAAGCAAUGCUCAAUUAAGAUGAAUUUUUGUAAAAGUGACAAUAGCCAGGUCAAACUAAAUACAUGUAUAGAAGAAGAUAUUGAUCUAGACUCGCAGCUAACAUUUCUGUCAGUGUCAACAACAACUGAACUUUCACAGCAGUCAACAUCAGACUGGGAGACUGAUAAUGCUUCUAACAGAAACAAUUUCAACCAACCAAACAAGCAACAGAAACUUUCCAACUUUAAAACAUCAGUUAAAUCUUCCAUGGGAUGAUGUCUCAA